UAAUAGUAUAAAGAUAAUAUAGAAUAAAAUUAAACUCAGAAACAUACAUAAUAAGUCUAAACCCAAUGUUGGCUAAUCAACCAUCCCAAGAUUUGUUGUCACAAGUACAUGAGCUACUAAGAGUGCUACAAACAUAGUCUGAAAUGAAAUGUAAUAUUAUCUAAUACAAGGAAAAAUAGUAAUAGUGAAAAUGGAGGUGACUCUAGAGUCUACGGACGAGAAACCAGCACUGCCUCAAGUCUCCCUGAUGUCCAAAUUAUGCACCCCUCUGAACGAUGCUAAGACCCAUUCCCACAAUCUGUAUAAAAAGUAUAGAAGUAUAGUGUAAGUAUAAUCAACCAUAUGCACUCACUAAAUAUCAAGCCUAACCUCUACAAGGUAGUGAUGUGCCUAUGACAAGACAUUUAAAUAAAAGCCUAGUUAACAAGCAAUAAAAGAGAUAACAGUAAUAAUAGCAUAAAUAAAAGCUAGGAAUCAGUAGAAGUGUCCAAUAUCAGUAAUGAUAACCAUAUUUUCUUGAAUAGCACUAGUUAAAACCCUUUUCAUCAGCUCAAACCAAUAGGGAAGAAACAAUAUCUAUAAUUAGUGCAGCAGCAAUCUAUAAAGAGAGUCUAUAUCACAAACAAACCCACAUCUUAUAACACAUACCUUGUGGCGCACAACCCGAUCCAACACAUACAUAAGCAUCAUUGCGACUGCAACCCGAUCCCAUGGACAUACUAUUCUUGCGGCGAGCAACCUGAUCCUUAUCAUAACAUUGUUGCAGCGGAAACCCGAUCCAAAAUAUCAACUCACGUUGAACCAUCAAUCAACACAUCCAUAUAAAGAAAUAUCCAUAAUAACUAUCAAAGAGAAUAAAUAAGCAUAAUUUACUAAGAAAAGAAUGGGCACGAACAAAAAGUAAUGUCAAAUCCCAAGUUUUAGAGUUAAUCUUACUCAUAUAACGUAAUAAGGAUCCAAAUAAGGUUACUAACACACAACAAUCAAAUAAUCGCACAAUCCCCAACAUAGCAUAGGAAAAUAAAGCAUAAAACAAGCAUAGACAUGUUCUAGUAAAUACAUUUAUUAAGUAAAAGCAUAAACAAGUAUAAGCAUGUAACAAGUAAAACAUAUGACGAGCAAGGCAUGUAAAAAAUAAAGACAUGGAACAAGUAAAACAUAUUAUAAAUAUAGGCACGGAACAUGUAAGAGCAUGUAAUAAAUAAAACACAAGAUAAACUAGUUUUACCUGCAUGCUUUGACCCAUGACAACAUAUAUACACUUGUCACCUUGUAUAUGCAUCGUCCCCCACACAAUUCAUAUAGAAAGUAGAUUCAAUAAUAUCCUAAUUUUCUCAAAUCAAGGUUAACCAAGAUACUUACCUCUUCCUAAGCCAAAUCAACAAUCCAACAAAGCUUUGCCUUUAGCACAAGCUUCCAAUCAACUUGAAUCUAGUCAAAUAAUGUUCAAAUGAGUCAAAACAGGCUUUACAAACAACUCUAGUAUAAAAAAGGUUCGAUCAUUAAUAUAUUUGAAAAAGUCAACAAAAAGUUAACUCUGGCCCACUUGGUCGAAAUCCAAAAUUAAGACCAAAUCUCGAUAACUCAUUCUCCCAUAAAUCCAAAUAUGCGAUUCAUUUCAAGAUCCAACCUCAAAUCGAGGUCUAAAUCUCUUUUAAAUACAAAAUCAUAAAUUUUCUACCCAAAAACUCUAUUUCUACUAUAUGACAACUUAGAUUUAGGAAUGAGAAAAUUAGCCAAAACAAGUUAAAGCUACUAACCUAUAAUGUUGGGAUAAAAAUCUCUUCAAAGGUUGGCUCUACAUGAAGUCUACAUGAAGAAAAUAAGCUAACCUUUUACCCAGUUGCAGAUGUCGUAUUUGCGAACUGGACAUUGCAAAUACGACCACUUAGCUCGCAAUUGCCAAAACGUGUCGGUGCAAAUGCGAGCCAGCAUUCGCAAAUGGGGACCUCACUUUUACGGACAAUGCUUUACAAUUCCAAGGGCACUACUAGAAAAUUGGUCUAUUGCAAACGGGUCACAAUCUGUUGCAAUAGGUAGUAAAACCAUUGCAAUAAAUCUAUAAGAACGGUUAAGUACAAUAUAUUAUACUGAAAUUGAUACAAAUCACUAAAGGAACUAUUAAAUAACAAAGUCACAAAUCAAAUUAUCCAACUAGUACUAUUCAUAGAGUAUAAAGCAAAAAAGAGAAUAUUAUUUGAUAAAUUCAAGAGUUACCAUACAUAAGUUUGCAAAAAAUUCUAAAAUAAAAAAUUCCUAGAACAUCUAAAGACCUUGUUGAAAUUGUUGGAUGAUUGAACUAUUAUAGCAACACAAUUAAAUACUCAGUGCAAUUACUAGAUGAUUGAUCCAUCUAAGGCAAUUACCUUCAAAAUCACACAAGAGUUAUGAUAUUUACUCUGUAUUACUGUAAUAAACAAUAAAAAUCAUUAAACUUUCUGAAAUCGAAAAAACAGAAACAGAAAGUUAGCAAGAAAAGAAUGUCGAAAUAAUUUCUGAAAAAAUAAUUUCGGAAUAAAUCGAGCCUACUGAAUGCACAGUGUGUCCUUAAGGAAAUUAUUCCCCUCACGUACCCGAUGUGCUGGAAUAUUAUCCUCCCAGGAUAGAACGAUUUAACUCACCGGAGUGUUGGUACCAAAAAUGCCGAUGUAGCAGCGAACCACUCGAAGGCUGUAAAACACACUGAAGAUUCUGUGCAGAAGAAGAAGAGCAGAAAAUUUCGUAAGGAAAAGAUUCUGGGAUUCAAAGCAUAUUUACAGACUUAUUGGCACUGUUUCUGAAAAGGUUUGCAACCAUUCAGAAACAGCAAUGGUUGUUGGAACAGGCUAUUUGCAUAUUGAAUUUUUGUUAAUUAAUUUAAUUAAUUAAUUGAAAAAAAUUUUGUCCAAAAGAUUAAUCAAUCAAUCUUUAACCGAAGCCGAAACCGAAGCCGAGCGAGCGACGACGGCACGAGGCUUGCCUUCUUCUUAACUCUUUAAGAGUUAGAAAAAGAGCAAUUGUAUAUAUACCCAUCAAAAGCCUUUUCUUCCUCCAAUAUGGGACAAUGUCCCUUUGCCAAGGAGGGAAACUCAAAUAUUUCAUUUCCCUUCAUUUCCCAUUCACCCUCUUUACGCUACACCAAGCUUAAAAUUAAGUUAAACCAAGCUUAAAAGCCCAACAAGUUAUUACUCAAAGAACUCUCACCUUGAUCUCCUUGCUUAACUGGAAAAAAAAAAAAAAAAAAAAAAAGAAAGCACUUAAGAAAAAUUACUGCAUAAAGUUUCAAUCUUUAACUGCAAAAAUAAAUACAAAAGAAUACUGCAGAAAAUUUCAAGCUUAACUGGAGAGGAAAAAUCUAACGAAGUGCACAUGAAAACCAUAGCAAAAAAAUUCGGCAUAAUUGCACAUAUAAAACUACCAGAAACCACAAAGAUUUUCAACUUAACUGCAUAUAGAAAAUAAUACUGCCCGAUGUAUGAUUUGUUUACAUUCUUAAAACCUUUUUCAAUUAGAAUUGAUGAUGCAAUAUAAAUAUUUAUGCCAGAACCUACAUAUUACGUGGAAGCUAUCUCAUGAAUUAUGUAUAUUGUAUUUUUCUUCUACCACCAUAUGAAUAUGUUCAGUAAAAACAUUCAUUACAUUUGAAUAUCAAUGAAUAACUUUAACGGAAAAAAUACGGCAACUCCAUACUCUUACCUGGUGCAACAAACAAUGUCUUGAAGAAUAUUUUUGUAAAAUUACAUUUCAUUUUUUCGAGUUACAACUGAAUCUACGACAUCUAAAGAGUACAACCAAAAAGUUUGAACUUCUCUUUAGAAGAACUUUUCCUCCCCUCCAGAAAGAAAGAAGGAUUGCCUCUUGACAACACUCUACAAAUUUAGACCAUCAUCUCAAAAGGUUCGAGAAUGACAUUUACAAAAGCCUUGGAACAUUUCAAUAUCAUACUACUUCAAAUUUUUUUAGUUGUAUACAUUUAUAAAAGUUUUGUACUGGAGUUGUUUACAAAAGAUACUUACAAUUUUUGUGAAUAGAAAUUGUUCUUCAUUUUGGGGCUACAGAGGUAGCACAUAAUUACUUGACUGGAGUAGAGGAAGAAAAUUAUAUUGAGAGACAAAAACAAUUACAAGGUGGAAGACAACAGUAGUCAAAUGCAAUAAAUAACAAAACAUCAGUGAAAACACUUAACUAGACUCAAAAUUGUGUUUGAGUAUCUUUGCAGGUAACAAAAUGACCAUUCGAUGAAAGAGACACAUACCAAAAGCAGAGAACUAAACAUGUCAAUUCACCAUAGAGCUUAGCAACAUUUUAGCUUUUAGAAGGUGCAUUUUUUCUUAUUGUCACCAGCUCUCAGUGCACCGGUAUCAAACUCACCCGUACUGAUAUAUGUUCGUAACAAAAACUUAGCCUAUUUCCACUUUGUCCUGAUUUAAUGCAGCCAGAAUUCCAAGUAGAUCCAACUUAAAUGGUAGAAUAAACCAAAACAAUUCCAAGCACUGCAGCGUACAUCUAAAAAUUAAACCGUAUUUUCGAACUCAAAGGUAAAGGCACCUAUUUAGGAAAAUAAACAAACCUAUUAGUACUAUAGAAUACCAAAAAUUUCUAGUCAUACAAGCAAGCAUGGAACUCCACCUACAAGAGCUUCCCGUAGGUUAUCUCAAGUUCAGAUACAAAAGAAAGAUGUUGCAAUUGGUUGAUGACCAGCCAUGUAUACUAUGACUGAUGAAUGCAAGACCAGCUUAAAACCUUAUCCGCUUAUAGUAAUGAUUACAACUACUCAUUCAGAUCUCAAUUCAGAAAAAAUAUUCAAAUUCAUAUCGUUUUUAAAGAUCUGUAGAUCUCUUCUUUUAAUACAUCUGAGAUCUCUCCAUACAAACAAAAUGAACUCUAUAAUUUCAUGGAUAAAUGCAGCCAAAAAGUACACAUAGAAGAGAUUAGAGAGACUUACGGCGGCGAUGCAGAUCUGAAGAUCUAAGAGUUGGUCCUUCGCUCGAUUUAUCCUUCAAACUGUAUUGUUAUUUUAGGGUCUUUACCGAGAGAGAUUAAUGUAGCAGUAGUUUCAUUCUCUGUAAGAUAAUUUUAAGAAUUGAUAGCUAAAGCCGGCAAAGAGAGGAAAAUUGCGGAAAGUAGGGUUUUUUCGGAAGAUUUUGAGAGAGAUUUUCGAGGGAGGUAUUCCAAAAAUUAGUGCUAAAAUAAAAAAUAGAAAACUCACAUAAAGAGGUGUCUCGUUGGGAAAAAUUAUAGAUGAGGGAAAUGAGGAAAAUAA
rnacentral:lncRNA from 1 species